AUUGAACGCUGGCGGCAGGCUUAACACAUGCAAGUCGAGCGAGCGGCGGACGGGUGAGUAAUGUCUGGGAAACUGCCUGAUGGAGGGGGCUAACUACUGGAAACGGUAGCUAAUACAGCAUACCAUCAGAUGUGCCCAGAUGGGAUUAGCUAGUAGGUGGGGUAAAGGCUCACCUAGGCGACGAUCCCUAGCUGGUCUGAGAGGAUUACCACCCACACUGAAACUGAGACACGGUCUAGACACCUACGGGAGGCAGCAGUGGGGAAUAUUGCACAAAGGGCGCAGGCCUGAUGCAGCCAUGCCGCGUGGGGGAAGAAGGCCUUCGGGUUGUAAAGCACUUUCAGCGAGGAGGGGUUACUCGCAGCAGAAGCACCGGCUAACUCCGUGCCAGCAGCCGCGGUAAUUC
rnacentral:rRNA from 1 species